GGAUUAUUGCUUAACUAAUCAUUUUUCAUUAUUUUUAUCAUUUUUAAUUGAUUUCCAUUCUAUCCUAGUACCAACUACAUAACGGAGAAAGGUGCAUCCUAGUUUUAGCCCGAAAAGUGAGAAACGGAGAACAUACAUUAAUUUUGACACGUCAGACGAGGAAACGGAGAAACCAAAACGCAGCGUUGUAAGUUAAUUAUGAAUUGCUUCGAACCGAAGCAAUCUGCUGUGCACUUCACCCUCCGGCUUCUCUUCACCUAAAACUUUCGAGUCUCGCGGGACCCAGAGCGUAAAAACGACGCGGUUUUUCGUUCUCUUUGAAAUGCAGGGUUUUGGAAUCGAAGCUCCUCGGAACCCAUCCAAAGCCACAGAUUACUGUCUCUUCGAUGACGAAAUCGUACCAAAUGAAUUGCUUGGUGAUUGUGGAAGGAAAAUCAUUACAAUAGAGGUCGGAUUGCUAUUAUCCUUCUAUUGACUGACUUGCAAUUGAGGUUGGAUUGCUAUUAUCCUUCUAUUGAUUGACAAUUGAGUUCAUUCGUUUCCUAUGCUUGGUCUCAGUUAUUUAUCUUGUUGAUAUUCACUAUGAACAUGAUUUGUCAGUUAUAUCAAGAAAUUUGUGUUUGCCAUGUUCAAGAUUCCCUUUCUAGAGCCAAUGCAUAGACGUUGUCUUGGGGAGUUGGCUCACUGUUUGAUUCAGCUUUCCUGAUCAUCUGCUUGUGUAGACACUGGAUUUAGGUUGUUCACCAUAUUUCCUUUACAAUUUUAAUGCAUAAUGCUAUUAUACUCAUGGUUAUAAAUGUUUAUUUGGUCUGUACUUCUAUAUAAGCUAUUAAAAGUACUCCAAUUAUGCAGAAUUCAAUGUGUUCAAGGAUGCUAUUAAGGGUUUCUGUUUCUACAUUUACAUUUUUUCCUUGACAUUAGUAGUCCAAUCAUGAAAGGAACCUAGAUGAUAACAGUAGGAUAAUCAUUAGUUUAUGGUCCAGAUUCUCUGACUUACACAUACAUUUCUACUGUCGAGCCACCUGCAAUUGGUUUGCUAUGAUAGUUGUUAUUCCUGGAAAAGGGUGUGUAAGUUUCCUAUGUCUCUAGGCUCAAGAUUGUAGAAAAGCCCAUCCUUCCUCUGAUUCUAAUAUGUGAUUACAAUUUAGUAUGAUUUUUUUUUAUGGGUAAGUUUUUGUCCCAAUUGGGACUUGAACCUGGAACCUUCCAAAAACCCUCCCCAUCCCUUUACCACUCGAGCUAGGCCUCAAGGGCACAAUUUAGUAUGAUUUAUGUUUUUGUCAUUCUGAGUUUUAUUUUCUUUCUCAUCUAAAGCUUUGUUUACAUGUGCCCUUUUUUUUUAUAUAAUCUUAAAAAUGAACUUGAACCUUGUCUCAAGGUGUAAUAGGCUUAAAAGUUUGUACUUAUUUUUUGUCAUUUAGUUGUUGUUGUUGUUGUUGUCUUUUUUUUUUUCUUUUUUUUUUUUUAAAGAAGGACUUUGACCUCAGUUUCUAUGAAAGAGUCAUAAAAAAUUAUAUAUAUGUGGUUUUAUAACUAUAGAGUGGUUUUACAGAAUCUUUUUCAUUUAGGGUAUCUGGUUUGCAUUUUCAAGUUGGGCCCAAAAAAGCACUAGUGAGUAAUGAGGAAGGACUUUGACCCCGGUUUCUAUGAAACAGCCAUAAAAAAUUAAUAUGUUGUGGUUUUUAAAACUAUAGAGUGGUUUUAUGGUAGCUUUUUCAUUUAGGGUAUCUGGCUUGAUUUUCAGGUUGGGCCCAUAAAAUCACUAAUGAGGCAGGACUUUGACCUCAGUUUAUAUGAAAUAUUCAUAAAAAGUUGAUAUACUUAUUGGUUUUAAAACUAUAAAGUGGUUUUACAAUCAUUCCCAUAGCGUCCUCAGCGCUUUGUCAUAAAAUGCUACCAAAGGGAUGAGUUCAAAAGUCUUCCUGGAUCAAGUAAUGAAAACUUCCCCUAGUCCCCAUGCUGUCAAGUUUGUGAUGCAGGAGCACCUAACAGGCUUACCAAAGCAAAGCAGGUCAGUCCUCUUUUUUGAUUGAUUCUGUUAAUAUCAUUUUUGUUUGCCUAUUAACAAAAGGUCUGCUAGUAAGCUUAUCUUUAUCUCCAGAAAUACAUCUUUUAAUUAUCUUUUUGUUUAGUUUGCUGUCUUAUGCUUAAUUGAGCCUUUAUAGAUUGUAUUUAGGCUCCUGGUCCUUUUAAGUAGCCCUUUGAGAAUCAUAUAAUACUUUAUUAUAUUAUAAUGUGUAAAUGUUAGGAUUAUUAAGUUUAAGGAGUAAUCAAUGGCUGAGAUUGUUAGGUGGCUGUUGCUCUGAUAUAAAUACUCUUGUAAUGAAUUGUUUUCAGUUUUCAGUCAUUGAAUAAAUCUAAAGAAA